GAUGAACGCUGGCGGCGUGCCUAAUACAUGCAAGUCGAGCGAACAGAUAAGGAGCUUGCUCCUUUGACGUUAGCGGCGGACGGGUGAGUAACACGUGGGUAACCUACCUAUAAGACUGGAAUAACUCCGGGAAACCGGAGCUAAUGCCGGAUAACAUUUAGAACCGCAUGGUUCUAAAGUGAAAGAUGGUUUUGCUAUCACUUAUAGAUGGACCCGCGCCGUAUUAGCUAGUUGGUAAGGUAACGGCUUACCAAGGCAACGAUACGUAGCCGACCUGAGAGGGUGAUCGGCCACACUGGAACUGAGACACGGUCCAGACUCCUACGGGAGGCAGCAGUAGGGAAUCUUCCGCAAUGGGCGAAAGCCUGACGGAGCAACGCCGCGUGAGUGAUGAAGGUCUUCGGAUCGUAAAACUCUGUUAUUAGGGAAGAACAAAUGUGUAAGUAACUGUGCACGUCUUGACGGUACCUAAUCAGAAAGCCACGGCUAACUACGUG
rnacentral:rRNA from 1 species